rnacentral:rRNA from 1 species
GACGAACGCUGGCGGCGUGCUUAACACAUGCAAGUCGAACGGAAAGCGCUCUUCGGAGUGACUCGAGUGGCGAACGGGUGAGUAACACGUGGGUGAUCUGCCCUGCACUUUGGGAUAAGCCUGGGAAACUGGGUCUAAUACCGGAUAGGACUCCGAGAUGCAUGUCUUGGGGUGGAAAGCUUUUGCGGUGUGGGAUGGGCCCGCGGCCGGUCAGCUUGUUGGUGGGGUGAUGGCCUACCAAGGCGACGACGGGUAGCCGGCGUGAGAGGGUGUCCGGCCACACUGGGACUGAGAUACGGCCCAGACUGCUACGGGAGGCAGCAGUGGGGAAUAUUGCACAAUGGGCGCAAGCCUGAUGCAGCGACGCCGCGUGGGGGAUGACGGCCUUCGGGUUGUAAACCUCUUUCAACGCCGACGAAGCGCAAGUGACGGUAGGCGUAGAAGAAGCACCGGCCAACUACGUGCCAGCCGCCGCCGUAAGAC